rnacentral:misc_RNA from 1 species
AUAGCCAUAGUUUUGCUAAUGUGGACCACUUGUUUUAUUAAAAUAAACAAAAUUAUUCAUUUAUAUUUCCUAAUUUACAAGUUAGAAAUGCAUGUUUCAAGUGUAUUCAAUCUAUGAAAUCUAAAAAUGUAAGCAAUGUUGCUAAAAAAGGUGGUUCAUGUAAGUUUUCUGAUGGGAUUUUUUUUGGAAUUAGAUGAAAAAUUCAAAAUGGAAAGUCA